GCGGUGGACCAGCUGCGUAACGGUUCACACACUGAUGGCGCCUGGAGGUUUGGCGAAAUACUGACAGGAUGCGACGUCAACGGGAGCGCAGGGCCAAGAUACCCUUUAUAUCAAACCGUCUAUCCUGGAGCAGAAAAAUCCUGUCUUCAUUGCUAUAGCUACAGAUUCAGAAAUGAGCAUGUAACAAAUUCAGGCCAAAGAGAGGCAAUGGAAAUCAGAGAAACACUGUUCCUGAAAGCUUCUGUCACUCAAGAAUCCAUGAAACAUUCAUGAACUUCACAUCAGAAAUAAAAUCCAGUGAGAUUCAACAAAUUGUCAAGUUACACACUUCUGAAUGACAGAUUUGGGACCAGAAGCUAGACCUCAGAAUCCUCUGUUUCCUCGGGGUGCUCAGCAGCUUGGAGUCCUGCAACAGAUUCUUCUUUUCCUGAAUAAGUCAUUUUCAGAGUCAUCUGGAUUUUUAGAAUCAGAUGAAUCCUCACAUUAUCAUAAUCAUCAUCUUCAUCAUCAUCAUCAUCUUCAUCAUGGUCAGCAGCAGCAGCCUCUCCAGCUACAUCACCUUCUUCAUCAUGAUGUACUUCACUAAAGCCAAGUUCACAGUGUCAUCUGUCCCUUCCUGAAAAUUGACUAUUGACACCUGGCUGAUAUUGAAACUCCAGUUCCUCAUCAAUUUUCUUGUCUUCUUCCCCUUUUCAGAAGUAAGAUAUUGAUUUUUGAUCUCCUGUAACAAGACGGCCAGUUUGUUCUUUCUUUUCUACACCCAUGUCUAAAGAAUGUUUACUUUCUUUCUUCAUUACCUAAGUUUGCUAAUUACAAAUUGCUAGGUCCAAGAUUGUUGUCUGUGAAGACUGAACACUUCACCCUGUGAGGAUAGGACUCCCAUGGUGGUGCUCAUCAUUUUGGGAUCUGGAAGGAAAACGCUAAACCUACUUGUGGUUCUUAGCAGUGUUGCCAGCAGCCUGCCAUCUGCCAGGGCUGAAGUAGCCCACUCGAGAAUGCUCUUCACAAUUCAUUCAUUUUUAAGGGGUUAUAAAAAAAAAUCAUGUAAAGGAAAAGGAAA
rnacentral:lncRNA from 1 species